AGUCGAGGGGUAACAGGGGAGAGCUUGCUCUUUCGCUGACGACCGGCGCACGGGUGCGUAACGCGUAUACAACCUACCUUUUGGAGGGGAAUAGCCCAGGGAAACUUGGAUUAAUGCCCCAUAGUAUGGGAAUAUCUCCUGAUAUUUUCAUUAAACAUUUAUGGCCAUUAGAUGGGUAUGCGUCCUAUUAGUUAGUUGGUAAGGUAACGGCUUACCAAGGCAGCGAUAGGUAGGGGUCCUGAGAGGGAGAUCCCCCACACUGGUACUGAGACACGGACCAGACUCCUACGGGAGGCAGCAGUGAGGAAUAUUGGACAAUGGGCGAGAGCCUGAUCCAGCCAUGCCGCGUGCAGGAAGACUGCCCUAUGGGUUGUAAACUGCUUUUACAGAGGAAGAACCACUCCCACGUGUGGGGGUUUGACGGUACUCUGCGAAUAAGGAUCGGCUAACUCCGUGCCAGCAGCCGCGGUAAUACGGAGGAUCCAAGCGUUAUCCGGAAUCAUUGGGUUUAAAGGGUCCGUAGGCGGGCAGUUAAGUCAGUGGUGAAAGUCUUCCGCUCAACGGGAGAACUGCCAUUGAUACUGAUUGUCUUGAGUUAUUAUGAAGUGGUUAGAAUGAGUAGUGUAGCGGUGAAAUGCAUAGAUAUUACUCAGAAUACCGAUUGCGAAGGCAGAUCACUAAUAAUAUACUGACGCUGAUGGACGAAAGCGUAGGUAGCGAACAGGAUUAGAUACCCUGGUAGUCUACGCCGUAAACGAUGGUUACUAGCUGUUCGGCCCGAUUAAGGGCUGAGUGGUUAAGCGAAAGUGAUAAGUAACCCACCUGGGGAGUACGUUCGCAAGAAUGAAACUCAAAGGAAUUGACGGGGGCCCGCACAAGCGGUGGAGCAUGUGGUUUAAUUCGAUGAUACGCGAGGAACCUUACCAGGGCUUAAAUGUAGUCUGACAGGGCUGGAAACAGCUUUUUCUUCGGACAGAUUACAAGGUGCUGCAUGGUUGUCGUCAGCUCGUGCCGUGAGGUGUCAGGUUAAGUCCUAUAACGAGCGCAACCCCUGUGGUUAGUUGCCAGCGAGUAAUGUCGGGAACUCUAGCCAGACUGCCGGUGCAAACCGUGAGGAAGGUGGGGAUGACGUCAAAUCAUCACGGCCCUUACGUCCUGGGCCACACACGUGCUACAAUGGUAGGGACAGAGAGCAGCCACUUCGCGAGAAGGAGCGAAUCUACAAACCCUAUCACAGUUCGGAUCGCAGUCUGCAACUCGACUGCGUGAAGCUGGAAUCGCUAGUAAUCGCAUAUCAGCCAUGAUGCGGUGAAUACGUUCCCGGGCCUUGUACACACCGCCCGUCAAGCCAUGGAAGCCGGGGGUACCUGAAGUCGGUCACCGCAAGGAGCC
rnacentral:rRNA from 1 species